CAAUAGAGCACACAUCUUCAGUUUACAUAUUUAAGAACAAACCUGUUGCCUUGUGGGUGAAUUCAGCUGAAUGUGACCCACUUUUGAAGCCCACGUGUCUAGUUUGUCUAAUUUUACAAGAAUAUCAGUUGUCUGGGAAAUACUGUAGCUGUAUUCAUAUAAAAACAGCAUUACUUAAUACUGUCACAGGUUCCUCUAUUUUCCACCUAGUCACCUGGGCUCAGUUCUUGGUGAAGCCAAAUUUAAUCAGUCCACAGCCAAAAAGAAUGCUUGCAAAAGCCCUUAUUUACAAGGCAUCAGGCAACAGAUAUUGCUUGUAGGAACACAACACAAUAUUUUUAAAAAUAAGAAAGAAAUCAGAACACCUUCCUCCUUAAAUUCUACAAGAGGAUCAAGACAGCAGAGAGGAGCCUCUGCCUUUUAUUGAGGAAGCUCCACCCUGUGACCUCCCACAACCACAUUAAAGGCACCUUGCUCUUCUACAGACAUUUUUGCACAAUGUCCCAUUACACAAAAACAGUAUACAAAAACAAACAUUUUCCCCACACACAAAAAAGUAUUUUUGUCUUGUAUAUUUUCUUUUAAACUAGUUUCAUACAAAUAUUGUAGGUUAUGGAUGCAUUAAACACUGGUGUUUCUAAAUGGAUGGGGAGACCAGCUCCUCUCCAGUCCACAAGAGGGCACUGUACAAAGAGGCCAGGGGGUGUCCAGUGACUUUAAAUUGUGCCCUGAUUCAAAAUGUGGUUUUGACUCUGAAACCAAGUGAGUGCAACUGUAAGACUAGCUGCAGUUAAAAACCAAACAUAUGCACACAAGUAUUUACAAAUCCUAUUUGUCUAUUUUUUUAUUUUUUUUUCUUUGGCCUGCUGCAUGAUGUAAACUAUGAACAUAAAAGGUGAAGCCACAGAAGAUCAGCUGAGGGCUGGGUUUGUAGAAACCUUGCGGGAAGCUUGCACAAAUCGCAAUGAUGUUUCAUACUGUGAAUUUGAAGAUUAUUACGAAGGACUAAGUAUUGGAAUAUCUGAAGAUGAAGAUUUUGCAAAUAUCUUAAAGAAUUCUUGGGGCAUUUAAAAAUACAGGACCCUCAGUAAGUGGUUAAUAUAAUUAACAUAUAUAUCUUAAAUUAUACAACAUUGUGUGUUUGUGGAAUGUGAAAAUGAAGGAAUUCACAAAGCGAUUUAUGCCCAGUGUCAUGUUCGUAAGAAUCACUUUUGAAUGGUAAAAAUGGAACUUUCACCAGUUAAAUAGUUUAACGUUCUUCAUCUUUCCUCCUCCCUCCAAAAAUUCGAAUUAAUUUCCACUCAAGUGCCCAACCACAACCCUUGUAUUUUUAUUUCCCAUGGCUUCUAAACAAGUAAAAAAACAACUUUUGUAUGUAUACCGACAUUAGACAUAAACCCAACCCAUGCACUUCUGUCAUUUAUAACCAUUGUUAAAACAUGUUAUAAAUUAAAUGUGAGUUACUUUCUGUAUACCCUUUAGAAAAAUGACUACAAUAAAUUAAAUUAUGAUCUGUUAAAAAAAUUGACAAAACAAUGUAUACUUUGUUAGUGCAGGUUCGAUCUAUUUUGCAUUUUUCAUAGAAUGAAAAUUUAAUGUUUUCCGAACAUGAAAGUACUGCAUCAUGUGAAAAAAAUGUAAUGGUAAGGCCUAUGGGUCUGACUGUCAGUGUGAAAGCAGUGGUUUUCAAAACAAAAUAAAAGUUUAUUUUCAGUGUUUAUUU